CAGUCGCCGCGGGAAUACGGAGGGUGCAAGCGUUAAUCGGAAUUACUGGGCGUAAAGCGCACGCAGGCGGUCUGUCAAGUCGGAUGUGAAAUCCCCGGGCUCAACCUGGGAACUGCAUUCGAAACUGGCAGGCUAGAGUCUUGUAGAGGGGGGUAGAAUUCCAGGUGUAGCGGUGAAAUGCGUAGAGAUCUGGAGGAAUACCGGUGGCGAAGGCGGCCCCCUGGACAAAGACUGACGCUCAGGUGCGAAAGCGUGGGGAGCAAACAGGAUUAGAUACCCGCGUAGUCCCUGUCUCUUAUAC
rnacentral:rRNA from 1 species